rnacentral:rRNA from 1 species
UACGUAGGGGGCUAGCGUUGUCCGGAUUUAUUGGGCGUAAAGAGCGUGUAGGCGGCCAGGUAGGUCUGGUGUGAAAACUCGAGGCUUAACCUCGAGAUGUCAUCGGAAACCAUUUGGCUAGAGUCCGGAAGAGGAGAGUGGAAUUCCUGGUGUAGCGGUGAAAUGCGCAGAUAUCAGGAAGAACACCCGUGGCGAAGGCGGCUCUCUGGGACGGUACUGACGCUGAGACGCGAAAAGCGUGGGGAGCGAACAGG